CCCUCUCGCCGGUUUGCAUAUCUUUUUCUUUCUCUCUCUCGAUCCCUCCUCUGCUUCAAGAAUUUCUCUCUUGCAUAUUGCGUCAACACCUGAUCUCUCUAUCUCUCUCGAAUCAUUCUGGCUCGCUGUCUCUCUCGAAACUCUCUUCUUCAAGAACUUGCUGUCGCGUCAAGACAAAGGUGAGAAACUCUCUUCUUCAACUCCUUUAUCAAUUGAAGAAGAAGACGGUUUGGGUGAGAGCUUUAUACGAUUCGUCUGGGAUUCGCGUCGCAGUUUUCUGCCUAUCUUUUGUGAAUCAGAAGGAAGGAGACGAGAAGAAUCAGGCUUCAUCCAUCGCUGUUCAGCUUCAGGUACUUAGAUUCAGGGCACUGGGCACAACAUGAAUUUAAGUUCAAUCCUAAUUUUUCAAAUUGUUGUUGUCAGUUGUUGAAAAGCAUAUCAGUUGUUGUCAUCUCAUAAUCAGAAUGAGUUCAUGGUAGAACAGUAGAGAUAUUUUGGUGAUUAAGAACUAUGCGAUUUAUAUUCCAAUAUAGUUUGUUGGUCACUGUCAAUGUUAUCGAUUUUGUUUGUUUUCGCACCAACUUGAAGGGUGAGCACUAUCAUUGAAAACAACCAAUUACUUUGUCAAGUAAUCUUAGAAAUCCUGUGGCUCGGCAUGGUUUUGAUCUUGGUAUUCAUAGCCCUCUUGAAUUAGUGAUUGCUUUCUAUCAAAAUAAGUGAGGUGAGACUGGACAUAGUGCAUAUUACUUUCUUGAUUGCCUAUAUAUGGUUUGGAUUAUAUAAUAGAAGCAUCGUCUGCAUUUAAGUGAAUUGAUAAAUCCCAGCUUUGACAGACUUCUCUAUAACUAUAUUUUUACGAUGAAGUUCAGGAAUGUAUAAAGCAAGCUUCGCAUUUCAUUUUUACUUAUUUCAAAUUCUCUGCAUAUACCAUGGAUUACUUUCUUUCAAUAAGAAAAUUGAAUCCUGAUCAGGAAUCAAUGCAAGCCUUUAGACCUUUUUAUAUGCCCCUUCAUUUUCUCUUUUUAAAAAUCUCAUUUACAACUCUAGUCUCUCUCAUUACUAGAACUGAAUUUCCUCAACAUUCUAGAUACAUGCUGUAAACAAUUCUUCAGUCGAAAUCAUAGAUGGAACCAAAAAUCCACCGUAGGGAAAAACAGCAUCUCCAUAGCAUUUUGAAAAUAAAGGGCAUGUUUCUGGGAUUCUAGAUACAUUAAUUAUGCCUUAUGAACAUUACUGAACAAACAUAUAUUAAAAUGUGAGGUAUAUAAAUUCUCUAUCUUGAUGUAAAUUUUUCAUUACAGUUUUUUCCGCAGGUGCUAAUUAUUUGCAGAAUUAUGAUAUAAAUCUGUCUGUUGAAAGCAAUGGAAAGACAACAAAUCCCACAUUGCAGAAGGGACUCUGGCGGGUGCAUUUACAUCAUGUCUUAAUUGUAGCAGUUACACUAUUGGGAGUGCCUUAAGAGGUAAGCCACCGUGAAUUGAUGUGUUAAUGGAAUUUGAUUUUCAUAUGGUUGUAGUCAAUCAAACUUGCAGAUGUUUAUCAUUGUUUUUCUAUUGUAUUCAUAGUCAUUGACUUAUCUUUUCCCAAUUUGACACAGUUGUGCUCCAAAAAAGUUGGCGAAAAGGUUUUCUUACAUGAACAUUUGAUGUUGAGCUUAAAAUUACGAGAAGCUCAGAAAACCAAGAUUUUGUUUCUGUAAUUACUUGGCACAAGGAUUCUAGAAAUGAUUGACAUUAGGCAUAUUGGAAUAUAAAAGAACGUAAAGUUUGUUAGCAAGUAACUGUUCAAAUCAAUGUCUUAAGAACAAUCCAUAAAGUUAACACCAUACCUCUAUCUGAAUCUUUAGCUUUCUAUAUUUUGCACCUGCAACCUUUACAUGCGAAUAAUCUGACUAUGUGGUAUUCUGGAUUAAAUUGAUUCUCCUCUAUCAAAGCAAAAACUUCAAUUCAUUUCUGCUUCAAGUGUCUUACUUAGAAAACAGUUCGCUCAAUAUAGUAUACAUUGCAUUUGAGUUAAUAAUGGUGCACAAUAUGCUGAAGUAGUGUAGUCCCCUCAAAUCAUGUAUUGUCACUUAUUGGCUGCCAGUAAUAUAUGAUUUACACUGACUUUGUAUAAUGAUCAACGAAGCAUUAAUAAUUAGCUUUAAGGAGAUAGUUAAUCUCUUAUAUAUUUCCUUACAAGCUUCUAGGCCAAUGCACAGUUAUAUUGUUUAUGGAAUAUGCUUUCUAUUUUUGUUAGCUCCAUGUUAUAAUGAAUCUCAACAUAUAUUAUAUCGUUUAUUCAAAUUUAUUUUUACAAACGUUUAUGUGUCAGUAUAUCAGAAACUAUAUCAGCUCUCCUACAGUUAUCUUACUUUGACAUAUACCUAACUUGAUAAGAGGGUGAGGCAUCUACAAAUUGGUUUGACAAAAAAAAAAAAAUCUGAACAUUAACCUUACGUGAUACAAAAGCUUUUCUUUGACAAUAUAUUAAUGUCUUCUUAUGCAGUCCACGGUUUUUUUUAUCUCAAGUUGCAAUAGAAAAAGAGCUGAAGCAAGCAAGUUUUUUCUGCAAAAAGUAUGACAGUUAUCUUUUGGAACCUGUUCUAUCAGCAAUUGUAACCAAAUUAGCCUCAAACUACAUCCUCCUAUUUUUGAACACUACCACAAAAUAUACAUUGAAAGGUGAUGUUGUAAGGACAUGAGUAAUUAGAUUUAGACCACAAACUCAAGUAAAGAAGCUAGCUACUUUGUCCUUUUCCCAAACUCAAGCUACUUAAAUCAAUUUUAAAAUUAUGCUUGAUGAUUCCUGGUCUUCAUGCUUCUGAACUCUUCAUGCUUAUGAAUUCACAACAUCUAUCUUUCGUUGUAAAUGAUCUGCAUUCUGUAUAUAAUUAUUGUUUUGUCCUCUUAAAUUUACUCAAAGGUUGAAUUCUAAAACCUGCAGCAGAGCGCGGGCACAAUUUCUAGUAUAUAUAAUAUAAGUUGAUGUUGAAAGCUAUAUAAAGCCUCUUAGCACAGUUUAUAGAAUUGGGUAAGUCAUAUUCUUUUUGUCUUGUGAUACUAACUUAUGGAUGUUUGUACUAACUAAUCUAUUGAGUAGUUAUUUAUACUAUUAAUCACUAGUAAUGAUUAUAUUUGCAGGUUAAAUCUACAUCCCGCAAGAAAUAUUGUGUAUGACCAAAUG
rnacentral:lncRNA from 1 species